AUUCUCCAGUUCAGUGUUUAGGAUACAGCAUCACAAAUAAGACAAUGCUCAGUGAAUAUUCACUCUUCUAUUCGUUGAGACUGUUGCAAUUACUUAAUUUUUUCUCUAAGGGUGAAAGUUGCAGUUCAGCAAACUAAGGAUUUCUGCAUAGUCUUUAAGAUUUUCAGGGGGUUUUUUGUAGGUUUUUCUUUUUUUUAUCCAAGCUACAUCUCUAGAAGAGCUUAAGAAUGAAAUUUUAUCAUUAAGAGCAUUUUACUGUCUGGGAUGCAUGUUACCCCAGCUUGUCUACUGUACAGUUAAAUUAGGCAUAGAGGGAGCAAGGUUGCUGAACCUUGCUCUGAAAGAGGAACAGAAUUGAGAUCAUGACCUCCACACAUGAAUUCAAGUUCUGGAUUAAGGUUUAAGCACUGUCUUUGUAAUCUUGGACUUCCUUAUUGAUACAUUUCUCUUUAAAAGGAAAAUGGAUUUGAUGUGAGCACUCUGUCUGUCCAGAAGUACUGAUCUCUUUUGCCGAGCUAAUACCUUUUUUUUCUGGAUCAUCUUUCAAAUGCAAGUGCUGUUAUGGAUUUUGAACACUGAAUACACUGAAUUACAUCUUAGCCUGGGUGAACAUUAUCACAAGGAUCAAUACCUCAAGAACUACUGGCUACCUUAAAUUCCAUUUUUACUCCAUUGGUCCUGCCAAGGCAGAAAGGAAGGUGUGAAAUAUAAAUUUAAGAUUCAGGAGCGCUGAACGGUUUGAUGAUUUGGAGCCAAGUAAAAUGAAACAUCUAAACCAAAAGGAAGAGGUGAAAGGAACAGGAGAGAUGCACAUGCUCCUAAAGUAGCUUAGUGUGACACUCUAAGCUGUAUGUGCACAGAUGUACAUAUGUGUGUAGAAACACCCACAGGACCCUGUGUGUUCUGAUGCAUGGGACUGGACAUUGCACAGAAGGAAAUCAUUCUGACAUGCUUUGAUAGAAGGUCUGUGAAGAAAAGAAACCAAAGAAAAUCCUGACCCAAAAAUACAAGCCUCUAAGAUAAUUCAUCCCAGCUGAAGAUCUGCUAAUACCUGAGGAGUCUUUUGGGAAAUGUGCAGGACAAAGAUACCAGAAGUUCAGUUUGUGAUUAUUUGUUUCUUUAAACAAAGAUUUUUUUAUUUCAAUGGUAGUUGGUUGGUUUUUUUUUUUAAUUAGCAGAACAGUGACUGUAAGACUGGUCUCUGGAUUGCCUUUGUGGUCUAAAAGAAUUCCUUCAGGAGGUUCUGUUUUCUCAAAAACCUAAAUAAUGCCCUAUUUUAGGGAUGUUCUUAACUAAGUGCAGUCUGCAGCUCUCAGCAGUGCCCUGUUAAUGACUUCUGAACCACUCAUCCAACAGCCCCUUCAUGCACUCUCUCUGAUGGUGCAGACAUGCCCUUUCUUGUUAGUGACUUCAGGCCAUUCACCACAAGAGUUAAUGGACAGACAAACAUUAAACAGUUCAUGUAAGAGUAAUUUAACAUAAAACCUGAUUGCUAAAAGCACUAGGCCACGUCUCACAACUUCACUUAACAAGGGGCUAUUUAGACAAAAGAAUUAUGUGCUACAAUUUGAAACAUCAUGACAGAGGAAUUUUAGGCACAGAGAUUUGAAAAUAGUAGAAAGCUUCAUACAACCUAAUUGUAAAAACCUGAAAGUUCAGAAGGUGUCUGGACAGGAUGUUCCUGCAUGGCUGAUGUUCCAGCCAUCAGUGAAUUCUGUCUGGUUGGAUAUGUCACCAGGUCCCUCUUCUCUCUGACUCAGCCCUCUUGCAGGCUGAGCUGCUAUGCCAGAAUCCACUCAGAGCUGCCUGCAGGCACUGAAUUUUGAUGUGAUUUGGACACAAAGGUUUAAUAUUGUCUAGGAGUUCAUUAUAAGUUAUAACAAAGUGUAGUUGGCAAGGCUUUCUACAGUCAAAGAAAUCUGGAUGACUUCAGGCAUAACCAUCAUAAGCAGAGUUCUCUGACUGAUGGUGCUUUUAGAAUAAGGUUGUCUUAUAUUCCCUGAACUGAAAGUAAAUAUCUGUUGAUCUUUUAUUUUAUUUCGUUAGAUUCCUUGCUCCUUCAUCUAGAUUUCAAAGGACAGGUCUGCAUGGUAGGCCUAAGUAGAAAGUUACUCUUAAGCAGUGCUAGAGCAUUAUUUUCUAUCUCCAUUAAAAUGGUGGUGAAAACAUGUUACUGGUUUUUUUCCCAAGGCUUUCAGUAGCUCAGCUGUACUGCAAUGAUUCAAAUUAGCUUAUUGAUUCUUAUCUAACAGUGCCUAUUACGUGUUAUUUUAGGUUAUCAUUUCUUUAGUUUGUCUUCUAUUUUUUCAUCAGUCACUAGUUGCAGAUCUUCAUACACCAGUUAUUGGGGGAAAAUGAAAUUCUCUUUUUUACUGAAACUCUCUAAGCACUUCAGUGUAAGAUAAGAAUGUACCAUUAACACCUGGCCAUCUUCCAAUUUGGCUUCAUAUCUUUCAAAACUUAUUUCUCAGUUCAGUAGUAGACAUAAAUUGGUUGAAGCAAAACUUAUUUGACAUAUACCACUUGAAAGAUAAAUCAAAUAAACAACCAAACCCAUGCUAGUAAUAGUGUUGUUAUCUGAUUCUCUUUUUCAUAUGGCAGCAUCUAUCAAAAUGUGUUAAAACCCUAAAGCCACAAAUCCCUAUAGGAUUUGUGUGCAGCAGCAGCAGCAAAAAAAAAAAAAAAAUAGAGAUCCUGUUCAAGACUUUGUAAUCUUACCCCUAUGCAAAUUAAAAGGGUUGCUUUGGAUCUAAAUUGAGCUUGAAUGUGAAGGAAAAAUACAGGAAAUCAACUACAGAACUGACAAAGAGAAGAGGCUGGAACAAACACCACCCUAUUAUUUUCAGAACCAUAAUUUUUUCCAAGAGAUUGAUGAUGCACACAAGAAAGAACAUUGCACCUUUUACAACACAGUACUUUUAUUACUGGAUCAUCUUUGUGCCGAAACAGAGUCAAGAGCAUUAAUACCACCAUGAUUUUUUCAUUAAUACAGUAUGAAUGUUGUGCAAUUUAACUGUUUCCAAUAAAACAGUUUCACAGCAAGACUGCUAACACUGACACAACUCUUUCCUAGGUCUGAGUGGAUAUUUUGUAGACUGAAAUCAACAAAAUAGAAUAAAAUAUCAUGGAGGCUCACUACUGACUGUAAUCACAAUCCUGAAGUGCAAGCCUUGCAAUCCCCAAGAGCUAAAUAUUUCAGCACAUGUAGAGUGUUCAUUGUAACUUUUUCAUUGUAAAAUUUUCAUUUUCCUUGCUAUGUGUUUAAAGUAGCACUAGGCCACAAUUUUGGGGACAGGUCUCUGCUGCAUCAGGGGGAAAAAAAUGAACAGAAAAGGAUACUGAGGCAUUGAGAUAACUCCUUCUGGUCUUCUUGAAAUGAUGACAGUAAUUAUUAGAAGAAAUUGAGGAUGAUCCCCCUUCAUUCUUCCAACCAGGUAUGAGAGACUGAAAUGUUAAAUGUUAAUGACUUAAAAAAUCAGCCAUUUGCAAAAGCAGGAGGUGUCCUGCUGAGGCCAGGGUUGCACACCCCAGCUGAAGGGGAGGAGGAGAGUUUGUGUGUGUGGGUUGGAAUCUCUGAUCCACACUCACCACCAGGCCAUGACCAACAUAAACCAACCUUUGUGCAGCAACAAGCUUGUAUUUACUGGGAAAAUAUAUAAACAGAUGCAAUACAUCUGCACAGACUUUUGUACAGUUACCAUUUUGUAACAUUAAAUAUUGAGUUUUAAUGCAACAGAUACAGACGGUAAAAUUAAAUAAAGGCAUAAAAGAAAGGUCUAUUAUUUUCUCAAAUUACUUAUGAACAUUUCCAUUUCAGUCUUGUUAUACUGGUGCCAAGAAAAUAUCACAAUGUCAUUAAGUACUGAAGUAACAGUGACAUUUUAGGCAAGUCAUGAAUGAUGCUUUACAGAGCACUUCAAGCAGGCAGGGAAGCAGCUCCUUGUAUAUAUCAUUAUCUUCUAUUAGUAAUGUGCCAGUUUUGAAGGAGGAACAUUCAUUGCUAUAGCAAUAACUUGAUGACAGUUUUCAAAAACAUCCCACUAGGAAAGAAGGUGAUGAAGGACUGGCCUGAUAUCACCCAUGUACCUUUAAAACCAAACCUCUCCAGUUAAAUGAAUGUAGUGCAGCACACAGCAACUGUGAGUGUGGCUUUUCAGUUUUGAAUGUAUCCUGUCAGCCUGACUUUAUUUUGCUUCUAUCACAGUGGCUCAUGAUGAGACAGGAAGCGAGGAGGAGGAAAUUGUAACAAAGGUGGACAGUUGAAACUUAUACAGAAGAGAAAUCUGAGAAGAGAGGGAAAUGGAGAGGGGAUUGUUUGUCUUACAGAAGGAAGGAAGGACCUAAAUGUACUGGCAGCUGUGGAUAAAAGGAGAAGAAUGGGGCAGGGUGAUGAGCAGUGCACACACCUUUGAAAGCAAAGCUGUGAUGAGACAAUGAAGAGUACAAGCAGUGGCAGUACAGAUCAGGAUUAUAAAUGGGAUGGGGACUGAGGGAGAGGUAUUUUCCCAGAAGUGGUCUUGUUUUUUCAUCUUGGCAAUCUCUACACUCUUCCCUGAGGCCAAAUUCGCACCUAUACUUGACAUGUGAGAAAGUCUCAGACACAAGACAAGAAAUAUAUUGUAAACGGAACCAUAUUUUGUAUGAAAGGCAGCUCCCGACAGCAGAAAGGCAGCAGCCUCUCCAGCAGUAAUGAGCAGCAGAAGUGCUCUUAUACCUCUUCACAAAGAAUGCAGCUGAUGGGACACCAGCACCCACAGAUGUGGUUUAAGUGUCACCUUGCACAUUCCUCCAAGACUGUUGGCCUGAGUAAAUUGAUUUUUAUUUCCAAGCUGUGAUGUAAAGUUGGCAGUUUGACUCCAUGCUGAAAAUGUUGAGAAGCCCUCACAGUCCAAAGAGUGUCAUCCAGACACAUACCCUGGGAGACCUGGUGAAUCUGGAGGGAUACCAGACACCAGUCAGCAUGAAGGCUUCCACAAAAAAGAGACCAUGACAAAGGAAGUCCACAAGAGAAGGAUGUUUAAAAACUUAAAAACUGGUAGUUGUCACACCAACUCAGCUUUCAUGGUGCUUCAGCAUCUACAGAAGGAAAGCAAGAACUAGGUGUGCUCCUAAGAGCAGGGGAACCUUUGCAGUUUGCCAGCUGAUUUGCUCACUGUAGGGUGAGGUACUGCGAUUCCCUAAAUUUAGCCUAACUUCAUAAUAGCCUGGUUUAGUGGGAGGACUUUCAUCAGAUAACAAAAUAUUCUCAGAACAUUGCUGCUUGUUACUCUCCCUGUGACAAUAUUUAUCAAAUUGAUUGUAUCAGGCCAUUUCACAUAGUCAAAAGCAAAACAUGUGCAGUGUCAUGGCAUAACAUUGUGUCAUUCUGAAGUUAUCAUGUCCAUCUUAUGAUCCAUGAUAAAUUGAAAGAAUGAUGACAAGGAGCAGUAAAUUCUGUAAAUUUCUGCCUAAAAUUUUACUCAUUAUCUUGGCUGUUAUUUCAUUUUGCAACAAUUUUUUUUUUCUGCCAAGCCAAAAGUUAUUCCCUGUGAGUGUCAAAUGUAUUCUGUACACUGUAAAACAGAUUUUCUGUCUUGAAAGUAAAAAAUAAUAAGAUACAUAAAAUGCAUGAUCAGUAACUUCUUUACAUUUAUUCCUUAAAAAUAGAUUUUUCAAAGAAUUGUAUGAGCACAGUCAAUUAACCAGAACCUUUUUACUAGACACUGCCCAUGAUGCUUUCAUUGUAAAGGACAUUUGAUUGGAAUAGAGACAUAUAUAAUGGGAUACAUAUUUUCUAAUAAACAGUCAAAUGAUUAUUCAGAGAGAAAUGAAAAACUUAUUUCCUUCAAGCUGCUAGGUGAACACUAACCACCUUUUUGAUGGUAUAUUCUUAUUUAUUAAAUACCACUUUAUUUCUCUGUGGAACAAUAACAGACUUUCUGGCAAAAUAAAAACAUCCUUAAAUUAAUGGGGAAUGACAAUACAUACACCCCAAGGAUUUCAGCUUCAUGUCAUAAAAAGUGUAACUCUCUAUGUGUGUGUAUCUAUGCCCUUCCUGACUAUUUUGUGAUUAUGUUCAGAACCCAAGAUGUCAAAUUUAUAUUUACCUUGAAUAAUAAAACCAUGGCUUGAGUUAAAA